rnacentral:rRNA from 1 species
CCUACGGGGGGCAGCAGUGAGGAAUAUUGGUCAAUGGCCGGAAGGCUGAACCAGCCAUGCCGCGUGAAGGUCAGUGCCCUAUGGGCGUUAAACUUCUUUUGUGCGGGAGCAAUAAUGGUCACGUGUGGCCAGACGAGAGUACCGUACGAAUAAGCAUCCGCCUACUUCGUGCCAGCAGCCGCGGUAAGACGGGGGAUGCAAGCGUUAUCCGGAUUUUUUGGGUUUAAAGGGUGCGUAGGCUGUGAGGUAAGUCAGCGGGGAAAUGCUCCCGGUCAACGGGGUGAAGUGCCAUUGAUACUGCCAUGCUGGAAUGCGGAUGCGGUAGGAGGAAUGUGUGGUGUAGCGGUGAAAUGCAUAGAUAUCACACAGAACACCGAUUGCGAAGGCAUCUCACGAAUCCGCGAUUGACGCUGAUGCACGAAAGCGUGGGUAUCAAACAGGAUUAGAUACCCCAGUAGUC